rnacentral:lncRNA from 1 species
GGCAAUUUACCGCCAUUCUGAAUGUCGUCAUUUUUGAAGCUGGGAAUUUCCUUGCACGUGUUACUGCACGCCACAGCAAUGCGCAAAGCGAUUGAAAUGAUGAAAUCUCAGCCGAUUCUGUUUUGAUUUUCAGGUGAUCGUUGUUCUGUUUUUCCAUCAAUUUAACAAUGUUGAUUUCUCCGUCGAAUUUCAAUUUCUGAUUGUUCGUCUUCGCUUUCAGUCUUUGAAUUGAUUCCCUGCUAAAACUAAAAAUCCUCUCCCUUAAUGGAGCAUCGCCGGCGAAAGUAACUUUCGGUCCAUCAGCCGGGAGUUUCAGUACAGAAUUUGAAAUUAAAACAGAAUUACGUGUAAAAUCAGGCUGCCUUACAAUCCUUUUCACACCUCUACUCACCUCAGCAAAUGUAUUGAAGAAAUUCCAAAACGAAGUCCCGUCAGUGACGGAAUGAUUGACGGCGCAUCCAAUAAAUACGCCGUCAGCUAAUUCCGUCACUUGAACAGCUAGAAGAGGGAUAAAAUGCCCUCGAUAGCUAACCGUUCGGUCCAAAGGGAAAAACUCCUUAACAUGAUCAGGAACAUCAAUAGAGCCUAUGAUAUCACGAAUGAAAAUGUGAGUAGCUGUAGCAUGUACAAAAUCAACUCCAUCAUCGUUGCAGGUAAUGUAGACAUAGUCAUUUAGAUCCGUCACAAAUCGCCCGGCGAGCGGAGGAAAGCGAGUGAGAGUCUGAGAAAGACUGAGCUUGAGAAGGGAAAUGAGUUGAGGUAUAGGAAAAGGUGGACGAGUAAAUAAACAACCUUUUUGAAUGUAGUGAACAGAGAGCAUAGGAAGAUCGGAAACGGAGAGUUUCAGAUGAGGAAGUGACGAUUUUUCCGACGGGAAAAUGGUGCAUUUGGAGAGUAAAGUAACAUGAGCUGCAGCAGCAGAAGGCAUUGUUAGUUAAUUAGGUAUUGUACUUGUCAGGCUGAGGAUGAAGUGAGAGUACUAAUAAGAAAGGGUUUAUAUAGGAGAUUUGAUUCAUGCAUUUGUGGUAGUGCUCAUUUGUCUUUUUCUCUUUGUUGCUAAGUUUGAAACAUGGGGAGAAUUUGACCUCAUUUUUAUUUUUUUAAAAUUUUGGGGGACUGCACUUAAAAAAUGACUAGCUGGCGCAUGUCCAACGUGAAAAUGGAUUCAAAAUUUAAUAUUUAUAUAAUAUCUUAAAGUUAUCUUCACUAGUUAUAACUAGUAAAUUACUCUCCCCCGUCUAAUAUUAGUGGUCCAAUAAUAUUUGUUCACUUUUAUAAAAUCAAUGGAUGAUUUUGCAUUUAAUUUCUAGUUUUAUCUUUAUCAUUAAUUAUAGUCAUUCCUUUAUUAUAUUUUUUAAGAUAUUAUAUUUAUUAUAUACAAAGAGUAAUAUAGUAAAAUUACUCUUCUAUUUAUAGUUUUUUAAGAAAUGUGUAAAGUCAAUCGUGAACAUGUAUUAGAUAGGUGGAGUAUUAUGAUGUCAGGAGAUUACGAGUUCGGGUUGUGAAAAUAACUUCUUCUAGAAAUACAGAAUAAUGUUGCAUAUAAUAGAUAUUUAUGAUUCAGUUCUUUUCUUAAAAACAAAAAAAACAAAAGUUUAGUAGAUUGGACCCUUUUUUUCCUCUUCACACCCUAUAUAAUAUCUUUUUUUUUCGUCUUCAUAUAUUUAUAAUUUUUUAGUAAAUUCAUGAAAUUUGAUUCAUGCAUUUGUGAGAGGUGGCUGUUGUUGUCUUUUCUUUUUGUUUUCAUUUCCGCUUUGGCAAGUGCUACUCAUAGAUUUGACUGGUCGGACAUGCCCAACCGGCCCCAUAUAUCUAUAAACAAAUAUAAUCACAAGUAAAACUGUUUCAUUCUUAAUGAGAGAUUUUAGAUUUGAGUUUUAAAUAUGGAGAAAAAAGUGUUAUUCUCGAAUAGAUUUGUAAUGUGCGAUUUGAAAUUCAUACUAUAAAAUCAGACUUUAAAGAUAAAAUAUCCUCUUUCAAAAUUAUUAUAAUUCAAAAUUUGGCAACUUGAACCUCAAAGUCAAACUAUAUUGAACUACUAGUCCCUCCUUCAAUUUACUUGUCCCCAUAAAAUACUCUGUCUCAUUUUAAUUAUCAUCAAGAAAAUAAUAAAUAUAAGAAAUAAUUAAUUAUUAAAAUAUUUUUGUUUUAAAAAAAUAUAUUAAUGUAUGAGCGCCGUCUUUUAACGUUCUGUAUGUGAUCUGGCAUUCUCUUUAUGAUUACAAAACUCAAUUUGGAAUCUACUCACCAUUUAAUUAAAAUAUUUCUGCUAAUUAAUUAUUUAAUUAAUUAAUUCCACUAAUAAUUUAAUAUAGUUUUAAUAAUAAACUUAGCUUGUUUUGUAAAUAAUCCAACUUAAGAGUUCAGUUUGUUAAUGUCCACAAUGAUCCUCUAAACCGUCUUUUUUUAUUGGUCGGUGUAUUCAAUUAAUUUAAUCCAAUUAGGAUAUAAACAAAGUACAUUAUUUAAUUAAUUGUUUUUACUGAUCUGUAGUUCCACUUGAUAUAUGCUGUCUUUUCAUUAAUUACGUAAUUAAUAGGGAGUACUACAACUAUGUGCAUGCCAUCUUUGGGAAUUUUCUUUAAUCAUUUAGGUAGAAUUGGAGUCAAAAUUUGAAAUUUUAAUUUUUUUUUAAAGUUAUAGAAUUUAAAUUAAUAAUUUUUAUAUCUUCAAUAAUUUUUUUACUAUAAAUUCAAAAUUUGAAAUUUUUUUAAUGAAUUCGAUCAAACUUGUAUUCAACACUUUGAAAAAAAUAUGCAUCUGCAUGUUUGGUAUUCUUCUUUGCGACCUGUGACUCUCGCCUCCUAUUUGUUCAAGGCAAGCAACAUGAAUUUGAUUCAUUCUAUGUAUUCAAUUUUGUUGUUGAAAUGCUUAGUUAAUUUCUUAACCUUGAUAGAAAAAUUAUUUAUUCAAUAAUUCGCGUAUGAAGAUAAGUAAUUUGGAUCUCAAAAUAAUUAUUGUAAAAAAAAUUCUCUCUUUAUUUCAAUUUAUGUGCCAUUUGUUUUUCGAAAGUCAAACAGUUUAAGUUUGAUCGUGAAUUUGCGCAUGGAAUCUUUAAUUUUUUGAAAUGAAAUAUAUAUAUUUGUAAACUACAUAAAAAAUAUUAUAAGUCACAAUAAUUGGUAAUUAAAAUGUUUAAAAGAUCUAUGAAAAAUUUACGAUAAAAAAUAGACUUAUUUGAAUCUCGAUCGAAAUUCAAAAAUUGUCAUGAAACGAAGGGAGUAUUUCUUAGACAAAUAAGACAAAUCAAUGAUUUGUACGGUGGCCGUCCUUUCUACAAAAAAUGGGUGGGAAUCUCUCACUCUCUUACUUACAAAUAGCCAAUUUUUAAUUUUCAAAAAAAGAAAACUUGUAGUCAAAUUAAAUAUAUAAACUAUCGUCUACCACGUUUUAAUUAAUUAAUUUUAACUUUUAAUGGAAAUACUAUAAUUAAAAGACUUUUAUCAUAUAUUAUAAUUAAACAAACUAAAACACUCAUGUAUUUAGUAAAUUUAUGAAAUUUGAUUCAUGCAUUUGUGGAGGUGGUUGUUGCUGUCUUUUCUUAUUUGUUUUGAUUCAUGCAUUUGAUACUUUUUUUGAGAUAUUAAAAUUAUUUUUCAAACACAUUUUAAUUCAUUUCAUGAUAUUUAAGAAAUUUUUCCUCUGGUCCAUAUUAUGUGAAUUGUCAAAACAUUUCAUAAGAAAAAAAAUUAAAAACAAAAGCUAAGUGUUACUUUUCACUAUUAUCCUUUGAUUAUUCUCAAACUAUUAAUUUUCAAGGUUUCGACAUUAAAAAUCAAAUGAUUCUUUGUUUAAGUUUAAUAAUAAAGUAAAGGAAAUCGCCUUGCUUCUCUCUUUUCUCCUCCAAAAUGUGAAGUAGUUAAAGAACCCUCAUUUAAAAAACAUGAUAAACAUGAAGAAAACAAAAUCUCAAAAAAUCUCUUGAUUUUUUUUUAAAUGAUUUUUUUUUAAUAUGAAAAAAGUCUCGGUAACUCACUUAAUAUAGACUUGAGGGGAGGAGUGGACCCACCCAUAUCGAAGGGGUGUCAAGCAACACCUCUUUGUCGGAAAAUUAAUACACCAUAUAUAGAGGUUAAAUUUUGGUGUUAUAUAUAUUAAGUAUUGACAUCUCUAAACACAAAUUAAAUAUUUAGUUUAGUGGUUAAGAUAUUGCGAAAAGUCCUUGAGGUCGUCUUGAAUCAGUUACUGCAUAAUAUUUUUAGGCUAAAUGACGAUUAAAAUGAGACGAAGGAAAUAAAAUACAGGAGUGCUGUCUUUUAUCGUUCUGUAUAAUGUAACCAUUAUAUUCUCCUUAUAAUUACAAACAUAGUUUGGAAUCUCCUCACCAUUAAUCAGAUUCUUCUGCUAAUUAACUAAUAAAAAAUACUUUUAAUAAUUGAACUUAGCUUGUAUUAUAAGAUCCUCUAAACCGUCUUUUUUGAUUGGUCGGUGUGUUCUAUAACUCUAAUCCAAUCAAUAAAUGAACAAAUUGGAUGUAAAUUAACAAAAUACAGUAUACAAUAUAAUCUACUAAUAAUAUUAUACAUACUGCAAUGUAUUAUUUUUAAUGGUUUGACUCCAUAUAUAAUUCUAUCUGACAGAGGCGUAUUCAUGAUUCAAAGUUUUAUGAGUUUAAAAUUUGAUCUUGUCGUCUAUCGGCAUUGAAUUCAUUAUAUGAUUACUUUUUAUUGAAGUUUAAAUAUGUGAAUUUAUGUUCAGUGUCGGAAAUACUAGAUUUAAUCUUUGAUGAUACUAUUCUACAUCCACCUAUAUGAUGUCUUCAUAUUAAUUAAUAGUGACAAAUUAAGGUGUCAAAGUAACCUUAAUUAAUGUUUUUUUCAGCUUCCAUGUGAAUGACAGUUAACGAUAUUUGUGAAGGAUAUUUAAAGAUAAUAAUUAUACUAGUUUUUAUUUUGUUAGGACUAUUCAAUUACUUGAACAAUAUAAUACUACUAAUAGUACGAUGAAAAAUGCUUAAUAUAUUAAUCUUUAAUUAAUGUACGCUGUAUCAGCUGAAGUGUGUGCAUUAUUUCAUCUUUGUAGGGUUUAUUGACAGCUUUAAAAAUACUUAUUUAUUUGACUAAUUAAAUUUUAAUACACCCCUAAUUUUGUAAUAUGAGUGAAAUGCACUCUUAAAUUCUCGCCAAGUUUAGAUGUGUUUUCAAUACUUCUCUCGGCUUUUUAUUAAAAGUCACAUGUUCUUACAAGAGUUUGAGACCACUUGCUAUGUUGUAUAGCAGAUCGGGGAUAUAUCUAAAUUUAGUUAGUCAAGUAUAAGAGUUUGUGGUUAUCAAUAAUUCAAAAAUCAAACUAAUAAUUUACGCCAAGAUCAGAAUUGUUCUCGAUAUUUCUCAAUAACUAAAAAGGUCAAUAGUAUCAAAUUGUCAUGUUCAAAAAAUGACUAGUGUAAAGUUUAGAUAUGUUUUCAAAUUCAGGGGAAUCCCAAUCUAUUUUGCCCAAAAUAACUAACAUAAAAUUAGUGUAUAAAUGAUAUAAUAUAUAUAUUUAGGGGGACAAAUCCCUGAUCCCAGAAUCUGUUUUGGGGCUGUCAUUCUAUACUUACGUCUUAAAACAGCAAAUAUUUUAAACAAUACUAAUAUUGUUAUGUAUUAUUGUAAGCUUAGUCAUUAACAUGAAUAUUAAUUAAUUAAUAUGGUCAGACUUUAAUCACUCUAUUUGUCAUGAUUUAGAUGCAUACUCCUUUUAUCAGUUGACAAAGAAUUUCCACACGCCAAGUGAUAACAUAUUUAGUGGCAGUUGAGUUAAUAUUAUUAUAUCCAGAGUCUUUAAAGCUUUUAACGACAUUUAUAUAGAGUAUUGAUCAUAAAUAUCCAUAUUUAUUAUUGUCGCUAAAUAUAAUAGAACAACAAUUUUACUAUAGCACUUUUUAAACCUAUAAUAAAUUUGAAAAAUGACUAUAGUUAAUAAUAAGGGUAAAUUAGAAACUAAAUAAUAAAUUAUCUCGUGAUUUUCUAAGGUAAACUAUAAAACUAAAAAUCUAUUUUUAUUAUAAUGAACAAGUAAAAGUGAACCAAGAAAAUAACGCUUAGUAAUCGUAUUUUCACUAAUACGUCCCCUAUUGAAAAUUGAUACAUUAGUAAGAAUGCUCUAAACUGCGUUGCCAAAUCAAAAAUAGGACAAAAAAAUUAAAAUGGAGGAAAUAUUAACGAGCGCUAUUUUUUACCGUUGUAAUAUGUGAUCUGUCAUUCUCCUUAAACUAAUUAAUUAGUACUUAAUUAAUUCCACUAAUAAUUUAAAAAUAUUUUUAAUAAUUGAACUUAUCUUGUGUUUUAAAUGAUCCUCAAAACCAUCAUUUCUGAUUGGUCGGCGCAUUAAUUUAAUCCAAUUAUGAACAAUUAGAUAUAAACUAAAUACAGUAUACAGGUAGAAAUAGUAUCUACUAGUAAUAUUAUACGUACCACUAUGUAUUAUUUAAUUAUUUGACCUAUAGUUCCAGUUUAUUUAUGCUGUCUUUAUAUUUCUAUUUCUAUUUCUACUAUAUUAUAAAAGAGAGUUUAGGGCCAAGUAUAAUAUAUAAUAUUAAGAUUGGGACUUUUCCCAAUCUUGAAUAUUAUAUAUUAUACUUGUGGGACUUUUAAAAUUCUACUUUAUACCCAAGUAUAUAAUAUAUAAUAUUCAAGAUUGGGACUUUUCCCAAUCUUGAAUAUAAAUUGACUGAUCUAUUUAGAAAUGACUUAAAAAGAUAAAUCAUUUACAAAUGACUUCAAAUAUUUAAAAGAUAUAUAAUAAAAUAGGUUGACUCUCAGAAUUUUAUCAGGCUCACAUAUAUUGGGACAGAAAAAAUAACACAUAUCAUUUUAAUAUUACCAAAAAAGUAUUAUAAAUAAUAAUAAUUAACAACUUAAAAUAUCUGAAAGACAUUUUAAAAGGGUUAAUUUUGUAAUUUUAUCCAUAUCACAUAAAUUAGGACAAAGUGACCAGUAAUGUACAUUAUUUCAAAGUUACACAAAAAUAUUAUAAAUCAGAAUAAUUAAUAACUUCAAACAUUUAAAAAAAAUAUGAAAAUUUGGAUGACUCUCCAAAUUUCAUUUGUGUCACAUAAAUUGAGACAACAAAAANNNNNNNNNNNNNNNNNNNNNNNNNNNNNNNNNNNNNNNNNNNNNNNNNNNNNNNNNNNNNNNNNNNNNNNNNNNNNNNNNNNNNNNNNNNNNNNNNNNNNNNNNNNNNNNNNNNNNNNNNNNNNNNNNNNNAUAAUUGACAACAUAAAAUAUGUUUUGAAAAAAAAUACAAAAAAUUCCACUGAUUCUUGAAGUGAAUCUAUCGUAAAAAUACUAUAAAUCAUGAUAAUUGACAACAUAAAAUAUUUCAAAAAUGUUGUAUGUGGGUGGUCUUAUUAUGCCUUAAAUAGCGUCAAAGAAAGUACAUGUUUGUGAUAAAAAAAACUUAUUCCUUUAUCCACGCAAACAAUCGCUUCAAAAACUCGGUUAUUAGCCCCAAAAUAUACCAUUUAUAUUAUUGGGCCCGUGCAUAGCACGGGCAACAUUAUCUAGUUAUAAUAUAAUAGUCACUCUAUUGUUAUGUGAAAAAAAUGUAGUAUAAAACUAUAAUAAAUAAAAGAUUUGUGAUAAUUAUUUAGCAAUAAUAAUAUAAUUAUCGUUAUAGUAUAUUUAGUGGCAAUAAUAAAUAUAAAUAUUUAUAAUCAAUACUCUAUAUAAAUGUCGCUAAAAGUUUUAGCAACUCUGAAUACAACGACAUUAACUUAAUUACUGUAAAUGUUUUUCGAUAAUAAAUAUUGCCGAUAAAAAGGAAAAUCUAUUGUCACUAGAGAGUGUUUGAUUAAUAUUUUUCAAUUUUCUCAUGUUUGAUUGAUUUAAAUGUUUCCGAAUUAACUUAUUUUCCUCAAAUUUAAGAAAAAUGACUUAUCUCUAAAAGGUAAGGAAAAUAUUUUCGAAAACUCUAUUUCAAUCUCACGCCUCAACUUUCCACCCCUAACUCAUGUCUCGAGUAACAAUUCCUAAUACUAAUUCGGUAUCUUGACUCUCUAUUUGGAACCCGACUUCCGACCUCGAUUCAAGCCAAUCUGGACUUCAAGUCGGAUCGAGGUUAGAUCACAAUUUAAGUGUCAAAUCCCGAGUGAGGUUGAAUUUCAGAUCAAAUGUCGGAAUCGGAUUCCGAAUGGGUAAAUUUUCCAAGGCUACAGUAGAAAAUUUGGAAGAUAUUUACAUAAACCCUUAUAACUAAUUAAUGAUAACAAUAGGUAAAAUCAUGUUAAUUCUUUUUAUCUCAUUAAUUUAAAAAUUUGAUUUUUCGAUUAUCGUUCCUUCGUAGGCAUCUAAAAGAGAAUAUAUUCACGUUUUUUGUCAUAUCAAUAUCAAGUGGAUAGGGGUUGUUAAGCCUAGCUAUCAAAUUGCUAAAUUCAAGGAAUAAUUAACGUAAAGUUUAGCUAUUUUUAAAUCAAAAAGACUUGUAUUCAAACUAUUACCUACCACUUUUUAAUUAAAUAAUUAAUUAAUUAACUCAAUUUAUAAUUAAAAUUUUUUAAAAGACCUUAAUCAUUGAUUGUGUUUAAAAGACAGCCUAAUUUUUAAUUCAUAAAUUAUAUUAAUCAGAUUAAUCAUGAAAUAGGUACACUUACUACUAUUAUGCAAUAAUUUGAUAGUUUGAUUCUGUAGUUAAAUGAACUUGGACAUUAUAACAGCAAUUCGAAAAAUAAGUAUACUAUUUUAGUCGUUUGUUUAUUUUUAUUUGUUCAUAUUUAACUUGGCAAGACGUAAUUACAGUAACAUUCAGUACACAGUAACAUACUGCAUGAACUCCGGGUCAGACUCCAGGGCUUCCAUUGUUUCCGGCGAUAAAAUCACCUCCAAAUCAACGCUUCCUCCUCCUUCUCUCCCCGGAAAAGCUGAUAUCUUCCCGUCAAAUUUAUUCGCCCGUCCACUCCGAACAGCAACUGGCCUUCCCCACCCGAAAUCAUUAUCGUACAUUGGAAAUCUCGGCGAGCUCCCCAUUGUUAGCAUAGCUCCGUCGAAAUUUCCCAACGGAAAACACCUUGGAUCCUUUUCCCAAUCCUCUACGAACUUCCUCACCAUAACAUCAUCGUGCGCGUUCACGUUUUUGGUCAAUUGCUCUGCGCACCAGUACAGAUCAUUAGACAGAACUUCCCCUGCUGAUGCGUAAAUCGGAAUGCUCUGAAUUGCGUUGCCGAAGUAUAACGGAUUCAGCUUCGGCUGGAGACGGUGACGGCAAUUUACAGCCAUUCUAAAUGUCGUCAUUUUCGAAGGUGGGAAUUUCCUUGCACGUGUCACUGCACGCCAGAGCAAUGCGCAUAGCGAUUGAAAUGAUGAAAUCUCAGCCGUUUCUGUUUUGAUUUUCAUGUGAUCGUUGCUUUGUUUUGCAAUCAAUUCAACAAUGUUGAUUUCUCCGUCGAAACUCAAUUUCUGAUUGUUCGUCUUCGCUUUGAGUUUUAGAAUCGAUUCCCUGCUAAAACUAAAAAUCCUCUCCCUCAACGGAGCAUCACCGGAAAACGUGAUUUCAGGUCCAUCAGCCGGGAGUUUCAGUACAGAAUUUGAAAUUAAAACAGAAUCACGUGUAAAAUCAGGCUGCCUUACAAUCCUUUUCACACCUCUACUCACCUCAGCGAAUGUAUUGAAGAAAUUCCAAAUUGAUGUCCCGUC